UACAGGCAGCACGCAGAAUUUGAGGAUUCCUGCAUACAUGCCCUCAACUUACCCACUACCCACUGAGCCAACACAGACCCACUUAUUUUCUUCUGGCAGUUUCCGACUCUUACUCCCACUCCAUCUCCAGCCCCCAAGACUGCUCCAGGAAACACUGGCUUGUGGACCCAAAUGGAACCAAAUAACAGUGUCAGAGUGCAGAGGAACAAAGGUUUCAGCAGCUGUCCUGACCCCUGUCCCCGCCCCUCUGCUUCUUGGUAAAAUCAAGCUUCAGCAAGAAUUCUGCUCAGCGGGCUAUCAGCUCACCUGCCGUCUAAUCAGGCUCCUCAGUCUGCAUCACCACCCAGGUGAGGUGCAAUGUCCCACCUUGCCAUCAGUAAGAAUCCUGGCAGUUCUUGGAAAUGCCACUGGCGGUCAUUAAGUGGUCUGUGUUUGACAAGUCCUGGUGUGAGCUUGGAGAGCAACACACAAACAGGACCGGAAGUCUAAUGACAUGAAGCCCUCUCCUAGCCACAGGAAAUGCCACUGGGAUGACAAGAGCUGUGUUUCCAUUGGCUUUCUCAACCGGCCAUAAUCUCUCAAGGUCUGAGGCCUCCCCUCCUUUAAGGCAGAGAAAAGGUGCGGGGGAGACACUUCAUUAGCUAGAAAGCAUCCCCUGGGACAAGAGACCCAUGCUUGGAGUAGCAGGUGCUAAUCAGCACGUCUCAGAGGCACAGUCACAAGAUGGGUGGGACCCUCAAAAGCCUCUAUGUGUGUAUAUGAAGAAGACCUCAUCUUCCCACAUAACAGAGCUAAGUCAGCCUCAACAUGGUCCUCGCUCGCGGUAGAAGGGGAAGUGAGCAGCCACCUGCCCUGUGGGUUUAUGUGCUUGCGUUUCUGGGAAAGUUUACGGCUCACUUCUGACAGACUUCCUUGAUUGGCUUACUUUCACCUAGAAACCUCAGACCCAGCUUCAGAGAAGAUCCAGACACUCCAUGGGACACAGUAAACCAGAUGGCUUGGGGGUUCUUUCAACUCAAUACUUUGAAUCUCUGGUGAUCUGGUUCGUGGACAGUUCCGGAUGGACAGUUCUCUUACCUGACCUGACAGAGUCCUGUUUAAUCAUACAGCUGCCUGCCUGGCUUUCCUUCAGCCCUGGUUUCAUCCCAGCAGGACUCCCGCUUGUCUGUCCCAACUGAGUGACAGGUACAGUGUGCUCACACCUGCCCAGUCACCUGUGGCUGUGGGCUCAGAAAUGAGCCAAGGAAGCUGAAUGUUCAGUGGGUCACCAGCAGCCCACACAUUUGCUAAUCCCAUAAUUCUCCACCACUGCUGCCCCCCAACAUUGCCGUCACCUGUACCUUUCCUGCUGAGUCCUCCUCAUGAGGUUUCCUACACGCUCUAGCUUCCUGGCCUGUGGCUUCUGCCAUUGUUUUCUUUUCUCGAGGAUAACUUAAUGGCACGUCCCAUCCAGUGCAGCCCAGAGCCACCCAGCGUUGUUGUGGGAAUGAGGGAUGAGUGAACCGAUUCUUAGAUGCUCUCAGGAAUCUACCCCAAUAUUGACCAAUAUAGUACUUACUGGUUAACACAUCCCCCCCCCUCCCAGAAUCUGAAUCAAGAAAGAAUCCUGUUUCCCUUAAAGGGUCUUCCAGAAGCCUAGGACAGUACCCGAGUUUUCCUGUAAUCCCAUGCCGACACUCUUCCACACUGACCCAGCCGCCAGAGUUCCCUGAGCACACACAGAACAAAAGCACCCAGCAGCCAGAGAGUGCCACAGGAAACCUUCCCCUUACACGUGCCUUUCUCACUGAGAUGUCAGACCCAACAGCUUCAGAAGCGUUUUUCUGAGAUUGCCUCUAGUGACUUUCUGUGGUGGUAUUGUGUUCCCCAAAAUAUUGUGCACCCUAAUAAACUUAUCUGGGGUCAGAGAACAGACAGCCACUAGAUACAAAGGCUAGAAAAUGGUGGCACUCACACCUUUAAUCCUAGCA